rnacentral:rRNA from 1 species
AAGACGCUUUUCGGAGUGUAAACUGCUUUUAUAUAUGACGAUUAUGACGGUAAUAUAUGAAUAAGGAUCGGCUAACUACGUGC